UGAAAAUAAGAAACGUUCAACAUUUCAUCAACAGAACAGAUGAAAAUAGCAAACAGGAAGUUUUCAAGAGAUUGUUACCUCAAAUCUGAAGUGGUUCAAUGCAAAACAUGAGCUUCAUUCAAUGCUGGCCCUGCAUGGUAUUCACAAAGUGCCUUUAUUAGAUGAAAACUUGAUGGG